GGCUACAUCAUGUUGAAAUGCUAGUUCCUGUAUGAUCACCAAAGUUAAGCAACAUCAAGCCUGGUGAAUACCUAGAUGGGUAACCUCUUGGGAAAACCAAGUGCUGUAAG